GCGGAAGUGGCGGAAUUGGUAUACGCGCUAGAUUUAGGAUCUAGUGUUGCAAGACUUAGGAGUUCGAGUCUCCUCUCCCGCA
rnacentral:tRNA from 1 species